rnacentral:rRNA from 1 species
CAGUGUGGGCUUGCCUGCUUCUCUUACCCAUGUCUUUUGAGUACCUUCGUUUCCUCGGCGGGUCCGCCCGCCGAUUGGACAAAUUUAAACCCUUUGCAGUUGCAAUCAGCGUCUGAAAAAACAUAAUAGUUACAACUUUCAACAACGGAUCUCUUGGUUCUGGCAUCGAUGAAGAACGCAGCGAAAUGCGAUAAGUAGUGUGAAUUGCAGAAUUCAGUGAAUCAUCGAAUCUUUGAACGCACAUUGCGCCCCUUGGUAUUCCAUGGGGCAUGCCUGUUCGAGCGUCAUUUGUACCUUCAAGCUCUGCUUGGUGUUGGGUGUUUGUCUCGCCUUUGCGUGUAGACUCGCCUCAAAACAAUUGGCAGCCGGCGUAUUGAUUUCGGAGCGCAGUACAUCUCGCGCUUUGCACUCAUAACGACGACGUCCAAAAAGUACAUUUUUACACUCUUGACCUCGGAUCAGGUAGGGAUACCCGCUGAACUUAAGCAUAUCAAUAAGCGGAGGAAAUCAUU